rnacentral:rRNA from 1 species
GGCAUAGCUGGGUAGCUAUGUAUGGACGGGAUAAGUGCUGAAAGCAUCUAAGCAUGAAGCCCCCCUCAAGAUGAGAUUUCCCAACUUCGGUUAUAAGAUCCCUCGAAGAUGACGAGGUUAAUAGGUUCGAGGUGGAAGCGUGGUGACACGUGGAGCUGACGAAUACUAAUCGAUCGAAGACUUAAUCAAUUUUUUAAA